UUUGAAAAAUAAAAGAAUAUUCUUACUCCAUUGCCAAAUCUCUCCUCAUCUCCGCCACUCCUCUCUGUCAUGAAAUUGUAGUGUAGCCUUCCCUCUCUCGUCAAUCCUCCAUUAGCCUCUACCUCCCAUGGCGAAAACCUUAAUUUCGUCUCCGCUGUUCAUCGGCGCACCACUUCCCUCACUCUCUCGCCAUGGGCUCCACGCUCUCCCUAACCGGAGAUUUAUAUCCACAAGAGUCAAGUUCAGCUUGCACGAGAUUCCUCCAAUUACUCAAUUAGACUCUUCGAUUGAUUUCAGUUCGAUUGUUAGUAGAGCCGAAAGCCUCCUUUACACACUCGCUGAUGCGGCCGUUGCGGUGGAUUCGGCCUCCGGUGGUGCUGCCUCCAGUUCAACUGAUGCUGCUGUACAGAAGAAUGGCGGUUGGUUCGGGUUUAUCUCUGAAUCCAUGGAAUUUGUUCUCAAGGUGUUGAAGGAUGGGCUUUCAGUUGUGCAUGUGCCUUAUGCAUAUGGUUUUGCAAUUAUAUUACUCACCGUUAUUGUGAAAAUUGCUACGUUACCUUUGACCAAGCAACAAGUAGAAUCUACAUUGGCUAUGCAAAACCUUCAACCUAAGAUAAAAGCUAUUCAACAAAGAUAUGCAGGCAAUCAGGAGAGAAUACAACUCGAGACAUCACGUCUCUAUAGACAAGCUGGGGUUAAUCCACUAGCAGGUUGUUUUCCAACUUUGGCUACAAUACCGGUCUGGAUUGGUCUAUAUCAAGCUCUUUCAAAUGUUGCAAAUGAGGGACUGUUGACAGAAGGUUUUUUUUGGAUUCCAUCUUUGGGUGGGCCAACUACAAUUGCAGCUCGUCAAAGUGGAUCUGGCAUUUCAUGGCUUUUUCCAUUUGUGGAUGGCCAUCCACCAUUGGGCUGGCAUGACACUGCAGCUUACCUUGUUUUACCUGUCCUCCUCGUUAUUUCUCAGUAUGUGUCAAUGGAGAUCAUGAAACCUCCCCAGACGGAUGAUCCAGCUCAAAAGAACACACUUCUUGUUUUCAAGUUUCUUCCUCUCAUGAUUGGUUACUUUGCCUUGUCUGUCCCAUCAGGAUUAUCUAUUUACUGGUUCACAAACAAUGUCCUCAGCACAGCCCAGCAGGUAUGGCUACGCAAAUUAGGUGGCGCAAAGCCUGUGGUUAAUGAGAAUGCAAGUGGAAUCAUCACUGCCGGACGUGCAAAACGAUCAGCUUCACAGCCUGCGAAGCCCGGUGAUAGGUUCAGGAAGUUAAAGGAAGAAGAGAAGCGGAAAAAGUCAAGCAAGGCAUUAGCAGAUGAAGAGGUUCAGACUCUGGAUUCUGCAUCUCGUUCUGAUGAGGACUCCGAUGAAGAUGCUACAGACAAGUUCUCAUGGGACCAGAGAUUUGAGGAUUUAAACUUCUGCAAUGUUCUUUUAUGUCACCACCUUGGUAGUCUUCCUGUUCAUUCACCCAUCGUCUAAGAUUCUGUUAAUUACUACCAUGUACAAGAAGCAGAUAGUGGGAAAUGAUGGUUGUACCCACUACCCAGAGUUGGACUCAGCCCUUGCAUGAUCAUCACCUUGCUGUUUUAAUUUCGUGGCAUCAGUCUCUGGGGUUCCACUCUCCACAGAGGACAGAUAGUGAUUGACCUCACAGUGAAAUCAAGGAGCCAUGGAGUACAGAACUGAGUUGGAUGAUUGUCUAAAAUGUAUGUGCUUUUGCAAGCACGUUCAGCUGUGGAACAUUCUUCAUAUGUAACUGUUUGCUGUGAUAAAGUGAAGCCCACAGUUUUCAAAUCCAUGAUGAACCUCAACAGAUUUGAAAGAAGGGCUGUCCUGUUGUCUUGUUACUCUAGAACUGGAGAACACAAAUUGGUAGCGUAAAGACUUUGAUAAAAGCAAGGCAAAGAUGUCUCGUAGUCAUUAUGUAAAAAUUUAUGUUCAGUUGAGGAAGUUCUUGAAGCAUCAUAUACCUCUAGUACAGACAAACAGGUUCCAGAUAUUUCUAGGCCAAAGAGAAGCAAGCGGUCAAAGAGAAAGCGUGCUGUAUAGAAAGACUUAAUGAUUUGAUCAUUGUACUUUUCUGUGAGUCCUGUAUAUCUCAAGAAAAUGUAUUUUUGUUGAUAUGUAGUGCCAUUUUUAUGCUGCUAAUUAUUCAUUUAAAGAUGAAUUGCAAAUCGUGGAAA